rnacentral:misc_RNA from 1 species
CAACCCUCAAGCUCUGCUUGGUAUUGGGCGUCACCGGCAACGGUGUGCCUUAAAAUCAGUGGCGGCGCCAUCUGGCUCUAAGCGUAGUAAAUCUCUCGCUAUGGAUGUCUUGUGGAUGCUUGCCAACAACCCUAAUUUUUUUAUGG